GGCUCUUUGGCGUAGUGGUAGCGCGUCGCUCUCGUAAAGCGAAGGUCGAGGGUUCGAUCCCCUCAAGAGCCU
rfam:Acanthamoeba castellanii str. Neff unplaced genomic scaffold scf7180000084711, whole genome shotgun sequence.